rnacentral:tRNA from 1 species
GCCGAAGUGGUGGAAUUUGGUAGACACGCACGUUUGAGGGGCGUGUGGGGCAACCUGUGGGGGUUCAAAUCCCCCCUUCGGCACCA